rnacentral:rRNA from 1 species
UACGUAGGGUGCGAGCGUUGUCCAGAAUUAUUGGGCGUAAAGGGCUCGUAGGCGGUUUGUCGCGUCGGGAGUGAAAACCAUGGGCUUAACUCAUGGCUUGCUUCCGAUACGGGCAGACUAGAGGUAUGCAGGGGAGAACGGAAUUCCUGGUGUAGCGGUGAAAUGCGCAGAUAUCAGGAGGAACACCGGUGGCGAAGGCGGUUCUCUGGGCAUUACCUGACGCUGAGGAGCGAAAGUGUGGGGAGCGAACAGG